UACGAAGGGGGCUAGCGUUGCUCGGAAUCACUGGGCGUAAAGGGUGCGUAGGCGGGUUUUUAAGUCAGGGGUGAAAUCCCGAGGCUCAACCUCGGAACUGCCUUUGAUACUGGAAAUCUUGAGUCUGGGAGAGGUGAGUGGAACUGCGAGUGUAGAGGUGAAAUUCGUAGAUAUUCGCAAGAACACCGGUGGCGAAGGCGGCUCACUGGCCCGGAACUGACGCUGAGGCACGAAAGCGUGGGGAGCAAACAGG
rnacentral:rRNA from 1 species